UUGCCUUAAACUAAUGAGUAAGGAAAACAAAGCAAACAGUGGGAGCUGUUUGCUGCAUCUAUCAUUAUGAUGCAAUAAUUUUUGGAGGGGUUAUAGGCUGGUCGUGUGUUGACGCUGUUACUUUGCAGAACUCACACGUGCGGGCCUCCCAACCC